rnacentral:rRNA from 1 species
CAACUCGCCUACACGAAGCUGGAAUCGCUAGUAAUCGCGGAUCAGCACGCCGCGGUGAAUACGUUCCCGGGCCUUGUACACACCGCCCGUCACACCAUGAGAGUCUGUAACACCCAAAGCCGGUGGGAUAACCUUUAUAGGAGUCAGCCGUCUAAGGUAGGACAGAUGAUUAGGGUGAAGUCGUAACAAGGUAGC